UACGUAGGGGGCAAGCGUUAUCCGGAUUUACUGGGUGUAAAGGGAGCGUAGACGGCUUGGUAAGUCUGAUGUGAAAGCCCAGGGCUCAACCCUGGGACUGCAUUGGAAGCUACCUAGCUAGAGUGCAGGAGAGGUAAGUGGAAUUCCUAGUGUAGCGGUGAAAUGCGUAGAUAUUAGGAGGAACACCAGUGGCGAAGGCGACUUACUGGACUGUUACUGACGUUGAGGCUCGAAAGAGUGGGGAGCAAACAGG
rnacentral:rRNA from 1 species